CGGGAUGUAGUUCAGCCUGGUAGAAUACACGCAUGGGGUGCGUGUGGUCGCUGGUUCGAAUCCAGUCAUCCCGA
rfam:Robiginitalea biformata HTCC2501, complete genome.